CUAAUCCUGGAAAAAAGAUGAAAUGACCCUGACCUGUUUUAGGAAUUCAUUCAUUUUAGAAGUGAGAGAUCCUAGAUGCGUGACUGCCUAGUUUUUGUGGUAUGAGUCUGAAACACAAACAACUGGCUGGCUUUCCACUCUGCAUGGUGUGGGAAGACUUCAUACACAUUGGAAUUCCAUUUUUGACAACUCAUACCUGUCAUAUCUUCAGUGUUCAAACUGAUAAAACAAUAAUACAAUUGCAUUUUCAAUCUAAUAACGUUUAUCUAAUUUAGCUGCUGUUCUGAUGUCUUCAGGAAGAAAAUAUUUAACAGCGUUCACUCCACAAAGAGCUCAAGUAAACUAACUGCAGUGAUAGAAGUUUCACCUCCUACACUGCCUGGAUUUUUCUGUGUUUUUCUUGCUUUCCUGAGUAGAUCUUAGGUUAUAACUGACUAUCUUUCAGGAUGUCUGAUCUCUUUUCCUGUGCCCUUCUUUCCUUUUUUGAGCAACUAUCCAUCUUGGUUUCUUCAACUUUCUGACCUCCAUAUUCCCUGUGAUGCAGUAUACUUCUGUUCAUCUCUAUCCUCCAACUUGCUAUUGAUUCUGUUUUCACUUGCUCUGUUCUCGGGUUUUGGCCCAAGGAUUUUGAGAGAAUGGUAACUUCCAAAUGAAAAGAAAUACUGAUGGAUGCACCUUUGCUGCUUCUCUGGUGAGAGAAUGCAAGUAAAAAGGUAACCCAAGUGAUUUUGAUACCUUUGGAUGCAUUGCUCCAAACUAGCAUAUGGUAUUAACAAUACUGUGUCAGGGGGCUUAGGUUAAUACUUUAGAGAGACCAAAUGGUUGGUACUUGAAACUCCUAGUAUUCCCUGUCAACAUAAAACUAAGCUGUUUCUUAUAUUUAACUCAGCAGUUCAGCAAGCUGAGUGACAUCUGACUGGUUACGUCAAUGACUGCUGAAGUACCAUGAAUUAACUGUGGAUCAAGAAAGAAAACAUGAGCUUUGCUGUUAGCCUCAUCGCUCUCAUUACUGCCAAUGAAUUGGCACAGAACAAUGGUGCACUCUAUACAAACUUCUGCUGCAGUGGUCACAUGUGCUUGACUUAAACUGGAUCUUUGGAGAACGGGUCGUCGUACUGCAGGUCACCAUAAACCCCCCAGCAUGGCUAACUUCCUUUAGUAUUGGAUCCAUCUCUAUGGAGGCCCACUUGCUUGGGUGACAUCUUCCCUGAAGGGAUACUUCUCUUCCACACCUAACAGGACUUGCCUCUGGAUGCUGAUGAUUUGUGACCCUUGUCCCAUUGCUCUGUCAACACCACCUUCCCUCAGAGGGAUCCAGCUGCUUGGCUUCCCUGUGCUCUAAUUCCAGGCUACUGGCCUUCUUACUCCUGCACUGGAGCAACCAGGUGACAGGGUGCUCACCUAGAUGAUGGCAGAAAUCUUCCUGUAUGUCUCACAGCUCAUACCCAUAGCCCAGCUGUUGGGACUGGGCCCUUUUCCGCUGAGCAACCUUCCAGCCCACACCACUGUUAUGGGUUCUGGUACAAAUGCAGCACCCAGCAUUUACAUUUGACUGUCGCUUAGUCAGACUUGGCCUAUUGACGUAGCCUAUGCAAACUGUCAGGGAGUUGGUCUGCUUCAGGAUAGGAUGGCUUUGGAGAGCCCAAUUAGUAUUGUCUGCAAGCUUACAGAGGGUGGACUUGACCCACUUCUCAAGAUCAUUGAUGAGAAUACUAAACUGGAUGGAGCACUGGGGAACCUCUCUGGUGACCAGCCACCAACAGGAUUGAACUCUGUGCACUGAGUCUCUGAGCCCAGCCAUGCAGCCACUUCUUCACACAGCAAACCUCUUCAAGCCAGUCUCUGCAGGAGAAUACCGCGGGAAACACUCUGAAAAGAUUUACUAAGAUUCUAGUAGAUGAUGUCCACAAGUGAGCUGGGCAGGACCUACCUCUGAUAAACGUGUUCUAAGCACAGCUGAUCACUUGAUUGUCUGAUAAAUUCUGUACAAGACAAAGACUACAGCAAAAAGGCAUGCAGUGCCUCAGCCUUAUCUGCACUUUCUGUCCUCCAUGUUACCCCUUGCAUCUGUGAGAAACAAGAGCCAAUAACACAACACAGGCUCAGGCAAGGAUCUCAGUGAAGUAGCAUUUUUGUUAGCAACUGCACUGGCAGGCAUCCUGCAAGCAGGAGUGCAGAUUCCCUAUUACCUGAUGCUUAAUUCCUCCCAUUUCCUCAUUGGCUGAGUACUUCAGGUUCACAAACUACUUGACACUUGUUGCUAUAUGUAUUGUAUAUUUGUACGAUUGCAUAUGACCAACCAUUAAUUGGUCACUUUCUUUUUUUUUUUUUUUUUUUUUUUUUACCUUCUCUCAGGACUAGAGGGCCUAUGAUUUUUUGUUCUUACUGAUUUUUCACUGCUUAUCCUGUAUUUUCUUUUUUUUUUUUUUUUCAGACAGGAUCUUCUGUGAAGCUGUUUUAUUUGCUAUUGCAAUGGUGGGCAUCCUGCAAGUAGGAGCAUGCAGUAAAAGUUGACCAUAACCUUAUAUUCCCUACUACUGACACCUGAUUUCUCCCUUUUCCUCAUUGGCUGAAUACUACA